AUAACUUGGUAAGUGGAAAAAGGAAGAUACUUUAUUUUGAAGUUUGGAUUUUCUGGAUGGAUUAAGUAAGUACGAAGCUUUGUUGUUGCUACUUUAAUUUGCAGAAACAAAAGAUCUGGUCUCUGGUCAAAAUCUGCGUUGGCUUCACCUCCUCACCACCACCACAGUUUAUUAAAGAGCAGGGAAGGAAAAGCAUUGGUGUGACAUAGCGGAGUCUCCGGUCAAGCGUGGUGCGGCAGUGGUGCAAGCCGGUGGUGGUCGUGCGGUGGAGAUGCGAGCAGCGGCGGAGACUGAAGAAGUUAAUUAGGUUUAGUUAGGGUUAAUUAGGUUUUGGUUUAGAUUUCUAAACCGGUUUUGUCUGUGAACCAGGUUUAAUAAUUAAACCGAUAUCAUUUGUAAACAAAUUUUUUUAAUAAUAUAUUAAUUUCAUUUUAAAAUCA